GGCGAUGAUGCAUAGCCGAGUUGAGAGACUGAUCGGCCACAAUGGAACUGAGACACGGUCCAUACUCCUACGGGAGGCAGCAGUAGGGAAUCUUCCACAAUGGGCGCAAGCCUGAUGGAGCAACACCGCGUGAGUGAAGAAGGGUUUCGGCUCGUAAAGCUCUGUUGUUGGAGAAGAACGUGCGUGAGAGUAACUGUUCACGCAGUGACGGUAUCCAACCAGAAAGUCACGGCUAACUACGUGCCAGCAGCCGCGGUAAUACGUAGGUGGCAAGCGUUAUCCGGAUUUAUUGGGCGUAAAGCGAGCGCAGGCGGUUGCUUAGGUCUGGUGUGAAAGCCUUCGGCUUAACCGAAGAAGUGCAUCGGAAACCGGGCGACUUGAGUGCAGAAGAGGACAGUGGAACUCCAUGUGUAGCGGUGGAAUGCGUAGAUAUAUGGAAGAACACCAGUGGCGAAGGCGGCUGUCUGGUCUGCAACUGACGCUGAGGCUCGAAAGCAUGGGUAGCGAACAGGAUUAGAUACCCUGGUAGUCCAUGCCGUAAACGAUGAGUGCUAGGUGUUGG
rnacentral:rRNA from 1 species